UGCAGUGCAUCAACAGGCAGAGCACACUGAAGCUGAAUGCUUUGUCUAGAUUAGAAAAUGCUAACCUGUAUAGCUGUAUCAGCAAAUCCACACAGCGUGGGAGACUUCUGAAGCAAAAAUUACUACUUUGAAAUGUGUUGCAUACUACCCAUCUUCUCUUGAAGUAACAUCCUUCUUACCUGGGUACGUGGUGCAUCAAUGUGAAAAACAGGAGCUAUCCAAGAAGAGGGACAUCCUUACUCUGUAGGUUCUGUUGAAGUAUCUAUAUUCUCUUAGAACUGGGAAAUCUUCAAUGUGAUGGAAGGACUAUUUGGAUUCAUGUCACCCAGACCUAAGAAGAAAGUUGCCAUUUCAGGACAUCAGCCUCAAACCAUGAAGGACAAAAGAAGUGCAGUAGCUAUUUGAUAAUAAUGAAAGAAAGCAGUUUCUUCCACCACUACAUGAAUAAAAAGGAAGGAAAAAAAGAAAGAUUGGAACAGGUUUUGAGAGAACUUCUGAGAGCAAGAAGGAAACCAGAGGAAAAUUAGACUGCAAGUUCAAAAGGAUGAAAUGCCACCUGCAUGGAUAUUUCUUACUGAGGAACCAAAAUUAAUUUGAACUCUGAACCUUUUGAAGUUCUCGCAUCACUCAUGCAAAUACAUCUCUAUUAUAGGUGGAUAGCAGUUUGGUUUCAGCUAAUGUAUUCAAAAGUGUUCAACAAGACUGAGACAUAUUCAAGCAUUCUAUGUAUCUAUAAUGGCUUGAACUGAAUUCAAAUGCCUUGGGGGCCCCUCUGUGUACGGUGAAGCUCAUAGAAUUCUAUAUCAAAUAACCUCUCUUAUUUCUUUGAAGUGUCAUAAUUUAUUGGCAUAGUUUUAUCUCUUCCCUAUUGUGCAGAUCAUGCUGUAAUUAAUCCAAGCACUUUAGAGGUAGGAAACAGACACAUUUCAGAAACCUUAUUUAGUAGUUUUUCUGGGAAAAAUAAUAUUGUUUUCAAUAAUAAGAAAAACAAAUUAAUUAUAAGAAUAGUACUGCUGCCUUAAAUGCAUUUCUUCUUUCAUUCAAAACAAAAUUUUAUUCAUAAAAAGGAGGAGUAUGCUCCUUGCUUGUCUUUUUGAACUGCAAUAAAACAUGUAAUCUGUUUUUUAUUUAUUUAUUUUUAUUUUUAAA